rnacentral:rRNA from 1 species
UAGGGAAUCUUCGGCAAUGGACGAAAGUCUGACCGAGCAACGCCGCGUGAGUGAAGAAGGUUUUCGGAUCGUAAAACUCUGUUGUUAGAGAAGAACAAGGACGUUAGUAACUGAACGUCCCCUGACGGUAUCUAACCAGAAAGCCACGGCUAACUACGUGCCAGCAGCCGCGGUAAUACGUAGGUGGCAAGCGUUGUCCGGAUUUAUUGGGCGUAAAGCGAGCGCAGGCGGUUUCUUAAGUCUGAUGUGAAAGCCCCCGGCUCAACCGGGGAGGGUCAUUGGAAACUGGGAGACUUGAGUGCAGAAGAGGAGAGUGGAAUUCCAUGUGUAGCGGUGAAAUGCGUAGAUAUAUGAAGGAACACCAGUGGGGAAGGCGGCUCUCUGGUCUGUAACUGACGCUGAGGCUCGAAAGCGUGGGGAGCAAACAGG